AAGCGCUUGUGACCAGACUUGCGCCCGGCUGAUCAUCCGGUGUUCUCACCGGUGCACUCUGCCGGGCUCAGGCCAGCAUCGGUUCUCGCGGGGGGAUAAAGGUCCUGGGAACGUAGCUCCUCCGGGAGUGUUAUAGCCCACCGUGUAAUACCCUGGGGGGGACUGAGGUUCGCGCAUCUGCAAGGAUGCUGGCGUAAUGGUCAUCAACGA
rnacentral:rRNA from 1 species